rnacentral:rRNA from 1 species
UACGUAGGUGGCAAGCGUUGUCCGGAUUUAUUGGGUUUAAAGGGUGCGUAGGCGGCUUUGUAAGUCAGUGGUGAAAUACGGUAGCUUAACUAUCGAGGUGCCAUUGAUACUGCAGAGCUUGAGUACAGAUGAGGUAGGCGGAAUUGACGGUGUAGCGGUGAAAUGCUUAGAUAUCGUCAAGAACACCUAUAGCGAAGGCAGCUUACUAAGGAGUAACUGACGCUGAGGCACGAAAGUGUGGGGAUCAAACAGG